rnacentral:sRNA from 1 species
CAAUAAGAUAUCAGACUUUAAAUACAAAUCACUCAUAUACAAAACCAAAAAGUCCGCUGUAGCACACAGGCCAAUUUCACUACUCAAUAUGAAAUCCGGGAUCAAACCCCGGCAGCGGAAUACUUAUUAUUUUAAUUAGUAUUGUUUUCAAUAAGAUAUCAG